UGGGGCAAGCUGGAGCGAAGUCAGUUAGCAGAACGGGGGGCGGACCCUGGCGACCACAGCAUGGAGAGAAGAGCACCGCAGGUGCUCUCUGUCCUCCCUGUCCUGCGGUUGCACCAGGAACGUAUGGAGGCUGCAGGUGUGAAAAUCCACCAUCCCUGCAGCGGGUCGUCAUUGCUGGAGCUGUUCGUUUUCUCCUCAUUCUGUCUCCCCAGGCUGCAUCAUCCUGGAAGUCACCCCAAAAAGGCAAUUCCUAUGGGGCCUGUGCCCAGUCUCUUGGUAGGAACCCCUCCUAAGUGCACAACGAUUCCUCCUAGGAUGGCCGUGGCACCCUUUUCCAGCACCCUUCCUAGGAGCCCCUGCUCUGAGUAGAUGGCAUCUCCCUCUGGAGCUCCAGGCAGAGGAUAGUACUAAAGCUUAUUUUCCUGCUGGCACGAGCUCAUGGAUCCUGUUUGUUCAUCAGCUCUGCUAAGGCUCCACCUCUACUACUUCCACACAAAUGCCCUGCCCCCAACAAUGAGAAACCAAGGGAAGUGUGCUUCUGUGCUGAAAUCAUAUAGAAAAAGAUUAUAAAAGAAAACAGCAACUAAUUAUUAACAUCAGGUUCCUACUCAGGUCCCCACAUUAUUAGCAUCACAAAUGUAAAAUGGCUGCCAACAAGAUUCAGCUUGGAAACCUCAUUAGAAGGGAAUGUCACAGUUUAUUCCUGGUGCUAAAUGCUAUUUUAUUGCCUUUGGAACGGUUGGCUGGUUUGGCUAAAUGCAAUGGGUGGCUCCCCUUGAGGUAUAUAUUUCUACUGAUGAAUUCAUAUUGUCUGAAGAAUAAUAAAUAUCUGAUAAUUUUCUAAGCAAUUCUGAAAAUAUUUAAUGUUGCCAAAGAAUGCAGUCAUCUAAACUGCACUCUGGAGUACAGAAGAAAAAGAAUAAUGAUAUGGUAAUACAAAAAGGGCAAAAUCAUAAUGAGGAGGGACAUUUGUCAGUAUACUCAGAAAAGCACAAUCUGUCUCCCUGGUAAUUUGGUGGAGUACAGAAAGUAUUACAUGCCAUAUUACAAGUAUUACAUUUUAUUUCUGACUUCAAGAAUCGUUACCAUAUGUUCAAAGUCAGACAUGACCUCUUAAAUAUAGCAUGUUCUUUGUUCAUGCUGUGCGGGCUUCAUCCUGCUUGGUGAGUAUUUAUUCUGAAAAAAAUGAAGAGAAUAUAAAUUUUCCAGUGCCAGAAGACUUCAUAUCAGCCCGCUUUUGUGGAUGAACUGGACAACAAUAAUUUGGCUCCUACUGACAAGGGAAACUUGACAGGUUCAUGCUCUGCUCUACUCUUGAAAGCAGCAUCCAGUAGAAGGCUGGACAGUCUCCGUCAGGUCUCCCAAUCCCUGUACUUUGGCAACCAAAGGUCAAGGAUGUCCUGGAGGUGUCAUAAAUCCCAAAAGAGAACUUUGGGAUGCUCUGGAGAUGACCUGGGAAGGUCAGCUGAUGUCCCUUGAUCCAGCCUGAAUUUUACAUUUUCCACUCCAGAGCUGCGGUUAUUUCUCAACUGACUGGAUUACAUCUGUCCACUCUGGAAGUCAACGAUGUUCAGAACCAAGUCGGCAUAUGGCAAGCUUCCGAAAAAUCAGAUUUUCUCUUCCAAGAUCCAUUUUCAUAGGGAACCUGGAGUCCAGUUACAGAGUUGUGAAGAUAUAUAUAGCAACAGUAUCCAUGAAGCUUAGACUUUUUCAUCCAAAGAAGGUUCUGUUUUCUAAUCAUCCAUGUUAGUCCAGUUCCAGUCUAAUUUGGCAUGAACUUUCUAGAUUUCCCCAAAACAAGAAGUGUGAACACUUUUGAGGAUGCUUGGAUCCAGGACACCCUCCAGGACAGCACUGAGGGACAGAUUUGGCUGCCUCUGCCUCAUACAGCAUCUGCCAGCAGAGAGGUGUCAGUAGGGAGAUUGAUUUCUGGUUUCACUUCUUCUGAUUGAAGAUAUGUCUACAGUAAUCUUUCUGUCACAGCUGAAGUGAGUUUAUCAAUUGUCCCAAUUUACUGUGCUUUGCCUUGUAUGGAAGUUGGAUCUUUGAACAAAAAAAAAAAAGGAUUAUUUUACAUCAGAUACACCAGAAGACUCCAUUGACACAACAAAUGCCCUCCAGCUGCAGGUGAAUUUACAGCCCAGGGACCAGGCCAGAGAUGAUGAAUGUUUGGGCUAAUGAAACUCACAAAUGCCUGUGUACACUUCCAGAUAUAAACUUUGGAUUUGGUACGAGAUACUGUACUUUUUAUAAUGCUUGGCUCCCCACUACUGUCAUGUCAUUCUGUGGUUAUGACUGGAUACCAAGCGGAGCUGUGUGGCCCCAAGGUGCACAUGGCACUUGGAUUUACAGUGUCUGAGACUGGUCACGCUGAAGUCCAAGAGCUACCCCUGAUUACAGUGGUUUUGAGGGACAGCAACAGCGAGGAAAGAAACAAAAUGCAUUUCUGGGAAGGCAAAUGCAGUAUUAAAAAUGAGAUCUGUGUGUCUGUCUGUGUUUACAUGUGUAUGUAUGAGAGCUGGUCUAGUGGAAGGUGUCCCUUCCUGUGGCAGGGGGGUUGGAACAAGAUGAUCCUCAAGGUCCCCUCCAGCCCAGCCAUUCCACGAUUCUGUGAUGUAUCCAUGUUCAUGUGCCUGCUGGGAUCACCUGCUCCACCUGGAGCUGCAGCAGCCCAGCCCCUGUCCCUGUGCUGCCUGCCCCUUGUGCACAAACACAGCCUGGAGAUCAGCCUUUCCUCUGCAGGGAGGAUGGGAGCCAGAACCUCCUCCAAGGCUGAAACAAUUGGUAUGGAGUGGGCAGGCUGUCACAGGGGCAGCAUCCUUCCCCUCAGGAGCAAAUGGGUCAUCCCUGAGAUUUUCCAUCUGGCAGGGAAGCAGCAGUCCCAAGGUUACUCCAGAGCUCAGUUCCCCUUUCCUGAAUUACUUCAAAAAAUGAACUUCCCAAGCAGAUGUUAUGUUUUCUCUCUAUGUUAAACUUAGUGUUGCAUUUAAAGAUGAUUUUAUCGCAUUUAGCUUAGUGAUGGAUAUCAUCCUGUGUCUGAUGCAAGAGACUUCGUAGUAAAUUUGUCAAAAAGUAAUGUUCUGCUAAUAAAAUGUUAUUAGAAUAACUGUUUG